GGGGGGGGGGGGGGUCACCGACUACCUCUCCUCAUAGUCGUCUGCCCUAACUUCCACCCGAUUUCCUUUUUCCUUCUCCUCUUUCGAUCGCUGGAUCUCAUCACCUCUUCAGAUCCAACGUGGAUCGGGAGUCAUCGGCCAAAGGCAGGGGGCCUAGAUCUAGCCAUCGAUUCGCUCGAUCGCCAUCAUCAGGCCUAGCGUUGUGUUGUGCCCUAGCGUCGACACGAUUCCAACACUUUCUUCUUCAAGCCGUACCCUAGUGACAUUUCCCCUGUCGCCACUGAUCACUCAUCGCCAAUACCUGAGCGCACUUGACUACUGAAGCAUACCGGCUGAGUUCUUCCCUUCGACUGGUUGACCUGAUCUCUGGCACUUCCGACACAGAUAUACGCAUCAUCCAACUCCGGCCACUAAUUUCCAGCAAGUAUAGUUGUGUUUUGUGGAGCUGGAACCAUAACAAUAUUAGCAAGAACUGUAUAUUGAGAACUUUGAUUCGUGAUGAGCGUCUCGACGUGAGAUCUAUUUCAGAUACGAUCUCCAUUUUUUAGGCGAGUACCUUUGACUUAUCUCUUUUGAUAUUGUCAUUUUCAUAUGCAUAGUAGGUUAUAGAUAGUAGUAACAGUUAUGUUUGCAUCUGCUUUGGUAUGUCACUACUUAGUACUUAUAGUCUGCCUUUAUUGUUAUCUAUUAUGCAUUCAUGCUUAUAUACUCUUGAUUGUUGCCAUGUGUACUCUUGUUCAUAGAAAUAGUGGCAUACAUUGCUCUACUGUGAAAUAGACUAGUUAUUUGACAUAUCUGACUUUUGUACCUAGAUUUAUGAUACCUAGAUCAUUGUAUGGACUUAUUUCCUUUUUGGUACAUAUUAUAUGGAGGUGUAUACUGUCAGGAUCUACAUGAUUAGUAUCAUGCACCAUCUUGCAUGACUGCAUGCUAAGCGAUUGUCGGCUUCAUUAUUGUUGAGCACAUCACCAGUUACAUGAUCUGCACACACAACCACUCAUAGGUUAGUGCUACAUUAGGCAGGGUGUGUGCAGUUUACUCGGUUAGGGCUCCUUUGGUCCGCUCAUGGAUAGCGAUGACUGCAGCAUGUAAGGGGCAGAGAUCCCUCCCCUUGACUAUGAUAUAGGGAGAUGAGAGCUUAGGCUCCCCCACUAUAUUUGGGGUAGGAGGAUAGGUGUACUCCGACAGCAUCCUAUCCACUUGGUCACUCAGGAGUAGUGAUGGUAGAGUAUACAAUUGUCAUAGCCCUACCCACUCGGUCUCACCAUUGUGUGUAAGAUGGUUGACUAGCAUCAGGGGUGAUCAUGUCAUUUACAUCAUAUACAUGGAUUGCAUUUAUUGCUUGUGAUUGCUACAUAUUGGGUGCUGCAUUUCUGUGGUUGCAUAUGAUUGACAUGCAUACAGGAGACAUGAUGGGUUUGGUUUGACGACCUUUAUAUCUGGAUAGGAGGCCCAAGUGAGUACAACUUCUUUGCUUGUUCAGUCUUCGCAUUUCCUAUUUUUGAUCAGGAGACUGUACUACAUGAUUAUUACUAUUAGAUAUAUCUUACUAUGCAUGUCAACUUGAUACCCCGCUGAGUUAUUGAACUCACACCGUUGUCUUAUUUUCUUAUUUCAGGUUAAGGUCGUCAGGAGGUUCCAGUUGCUAGUCCCAUUGUCACAACAAUUUUCGUUUUGGUCUUUUGGUUUCCUGUUUAUUUGCUUAGAAGCUAUGUUCUAGACUUGUAUUGGUUUUGCACCCUGGAUUUUGUAUGGUUUUUCUUAAGGUAUUGGACUGGUUAGACUUUCGACUU